AUGUGUUGCUCAAAUCUGUUCUUGCUGUUGCUAGCAGCUAUAUCUUGUGUCCACUGUGUUGAACUAAUCCAGCCUGCUUCCAGUGUUUUAAGGCCUGGUCAGGCAUUGACACUGACCUGUCAGGUAUCUGGAUAUUCACUGACUGACAGCAGCUACUGCACUCACUGGAUACGACAGGCUGCAGGAAAAGCUCUGGAAUGGAUUGGAGAUAUAUGUGGUAGCGGUAACACAUAUUACAGUGAUGAACUGAAGAGUAGAUUUCAAGUAACCAGAGACUCUUCCAGCAGCAGUAACUCUUAA